rnacentral:misc_RNA from 1 species
GCAGUAUUGCGCGGGGCUGACGGGGAUGAGUUACCAAAUAAAGUUGUUUCAGAAACCGUCAAAGAUGUACCUAAAAACAAAGAUAAACAACUGCGCACCAGAGGCAUGUUUUGAUGAAAAUAACGUAUUUUGGCUGGGAUUAUCAAGGGUUUGCUUGUCAGGAGGACUCCGCUGAUACGAUUGAAGGAUAUUUGUUUCGUGCCUUGGAACGCACCUGCCUCAUCGAAUCCCGUGCUACUUCCAACUACCAUCGAUGCGGUCGCACCGACAAGGAAGUGAGCGCCUUCUGCCAAGUGAUAUCAAUUAAUUUGCGUAGCAAGCACUCACCCGAUACUCAAAUGAAGCCAGAGUCGCUAAACACUGAAAUAGAUUAUUGCAGUCUGCUAAAUCGGGUGCUGCCCAAAAAUAUUCAAUGCGUAUCCUGGAUGCCGUUGCGAAAUCCCGACUACAGCGCUCGAUUUGAUUGUAUUUCACGCACCUAUCGCUACUAUUUUCCCAAGGGCGAUCUGGACAUUGACUCAAUGCAACAGGCCUGUCAGUUACUCGUCUGCCAUGGAGACUUUAGGAAUUUUUGUAAAAUGGAUGUGCAUAAUGGCGUAACGAAUUACAUGCGUAAUUUGCAGCACGCAGAGAUAAGGCCAUGUGACAAUACAGAACGCCAGUUAGAGCAAAACUCAGGCUAUAUUAUGUAUUAUCUGGAGAUAAAAGCAAAUGCUUUCCUAUGGCAUCAAAUACGAUGCAUCAUGGCUGUGCUGCUGCUAGUUGGACAAAAGAACGAGCAGCCAUCCAUAAUCACUAAAUUACUCGAUGUGGGUAGCAAUCCUUGUAAGCCCCAGUAUACGCCUGCUAUUGGGCUACCACUGAAUCUGUUCCAUUGUGAAUUUCGAUCGCACAGCACGCGUCAAUCGAAUCUUCCAAAUUUAUCACAGAUUGCGAUUGUGGAAAGCGAAAGCGAAAGCCAAAGUGAUCUAACCAAUUGGGUUUACAGUGAGGAGAAUCUACAGAAGCUGAUCGAGAACGUGCAGAGUGAGUGGACGCAGUUCAGUGUCAAGUGCACCAUGAUACGCAAUGUCUUAGUGCAACUGGAGGCACUCCUUGAGCAGAACUUCAAAACACCGCAGAUUCAAGCACAGGCCAUGCUGCUGCAGGAUGCGGCCAAGCCGCGCCAGUAUCAACCAUUGCUGCAGCGCAAACGAUGUGAGAGCUUGGAAAAUCGCAUUGACCAUUUUGUGAAAAAGCAACGACUGCUUGUAAAAAGCGACACAACGACGGAGACGAGUAAAAGUGAAACUGCUGAAUAUUAAUGAAUUUACUACAGCUUGAUGUGAUUUCGUUGUGGUGCUCAGAUUUGCUGGCUUGUUCCCGUAUGGCUGCAAAUCCAAUCAGUUAUAUCAUCCACUCUUCAUGGCAAACAAACCGCAACGUUUCAGUGCAUGUCACAUACGGAGUCUUGCAUUGCGAAUCAUCAGUCAAAUGGAUCACAUAAUGCCACGCUUUGUCACACUUGGUCGCUUAUGGGAUUUAGGGCCCCUAACCGAAACCACAGUCCAGACCAUAAAAGUACCAACCCAGACCUACCCAGAGGCAGCCCCCGUGCGCUUUGGAUCGCAUUACGUACAGUGGAGCCUGGGCCUGGCUACAGAGUGUAAAAAGUAUACGAAAGACUGGGUUCGAAGUGAGUGCUUAAAGUUUGCUGUCUGAGUUAUGUUUGUGCCACGCUUUUUGGACGAAUUGUCCACUGUGCGGACCGAAAACGGGUCAAUACGGUAUUUCAGGGCGUGCUUUAUUUCUUUAUACAUAAACACACACCAUGCCCACUUUCGAGUAUCGAUGACAAUCGCGAGUGCUUGAUGAUGCGUUGACACAUGCGGAAAUCUUUUCAUUCAGCGAACCAAAUAACUCGAACUGAAUCGAAUUGAUUUUAUAUAUUGUAUGUUGAAUGCCCAUUGAACUGGCUGCAAAUAACUGAACUAGUUCCGCGAAGUCUUUGUUAUUUUUAAAGGAAUUGUCUGAUUGGCUGCAAUCUGCUCUUAUACUUACGCAUACAUGUACAUCUGCAUGCUAAUAAUUACGUAAGUUAGAGCGAGAUGACCUAAUUAGCAUACGUGAAUGUGGGGUGGGUUUUGUAAGCUGUAAAGAGUUGCUGUAUUGUCUACGUAGAUAUGUGUGCGUAUUUAUAUGUGUAUGUGCGCGUGUGUGCUUCUAUUUUGCCUUGCUUUCUUUUUUUUUUGCUAUCUUUAGUUGACAAUUUCCGUAUAAUUCAAAUAUAAUUGAUUUAUAUUGAUAUACGACUGUUAAGAUAUCAGCUGUUUUCACACGCUUUUUUGUUGGAGCACCAAUUAAAUAGCAAUAAAAAGUUAGCCACUUACUAUCGCAAUCUAAUUUAUACACAUAAGUCUCUAAUAGAGUGUGAAAGAGAGCGAGCGGGAAGGGGAAGAGACUCUGUUAUUUAUUAGAGAUGGGACACGGUAAGCUGUCGACAUGCGUCCAUAUAAAAGGCAUCAUAAAUAUAGAUAAAGAUGCCAUUCCACUAGGGUGGCAGCAUUUAAAAAUCAAUUUCAGCGCAUUUAAGGCUUUGGGGCUUGUCGUCUAUUUCGGUCGCUUGUUUGCUUUUAGUCUUGGGUUCGGGUAGGGGUCG